rnacentral:rRNA from 1 species
GACGAACGCUGGUGGCAGGCCUAACACAUGCAAGUCGAGCGAGCGGCGGACGGGUGAGUAAUGUCUGGGAAACUGCCUGAUGGAGGGGGAUAACUACUGGAAACGGUAGCUAAUACCGCAUACCCUCAGAUGUGCCCAGAUGGUAUUCGCUAGUAGGUUGGGUAACGACUCACCUAGGCGACGAUCCCUAGCUGGUCUGAGAGGAUGACCAGCCACACUGGAACGGAGACACGGUCCAGACUCCUACGGGAGGCAGCAGUGGGGAAUAUUGCACAAUGGGCGCAAGCCUGAUGCAGCCAUGCCGCGUGUGUGAAGAAGGCCUUCGGGUUGUAAAGCACUUUCAGCGGGGAGGCGUUACCCGCAGAAGAAGCACCGGCUAACUCCGUGCCAGCAGCCGCGGUAAUUC